GAUUAUGGCUCAGGAUGAACGCUAGCGAUAGGCUUAACACAUGCAAGUCGAGGGGCAGCACGGUGUAGCAAUACACUGGUGGCGACCGGCGUACGGGUGCGUAACACGUAUGCAACCUACCCGCUAUUGGGGGAUAACCCGGCGAAAGUCGGACUAAUACCCCAUAUUAUUCUUACCGGGCAUCCGGUAGGUCUGAAAGAUUUAUCGAUUGCGGAUGGGCAUGCGGAUGAUUAGCUAGUAGGUGGGGUAACGGCUCACCUAGGCGACGAUCAUUAGGGGUUCUGAGAGGAAGGUCCCCCACACUGGAACUGAGACACGGUCCAGACUCCUACGGGAGGCAGCAGUGAGGAAUAUUGGUCAAUGGGCGCUAGCCUGAACCAGCCAAGUCGCGUGAAGGAUGAACCAGAUCUAUGGUUUGUAAACUUCUUUUGCAGGGGAGUAAAGUGCGGCACGUGUGUUGUAUUGCAAGUACCCUGCGAAUAAGCAUCGGCUAACUCCGUGCCAGCCGCCGC
rnacentral:rRNA from 1 species